rnacentral:rRNA from 1 species
UGAGCAAUCUGCCCUUCUCAUCGGAAUAAGCGUUGGAAACGACGUCUAAUGCCGAAUACGACCUCCUUUCGCAUGAUCGGAGGUGGAAAGCUCCGGCGGAGAAGGAUGAGCUCGCGGCCUAUCAGCUAGUUGGUGUGGGUAAUGGCCCACCAAGGCGACGACGGGUAGCCGGCCUGAGAGGGUGACCGGCCACACUGGAACUGAGAUACGGCCCAGACUCCUACGGGAGCAG